UACGGAAGGCAGCAGUGGGGAAUAUUGCACAAUGGGCGAAAGCCUGAUGCAGCUAUGCCGCGUGUAUGAAGAAGGCCUUAGGGUUGUAAAGUACUUUCAUCGGGGAGGAAAAAACAAAACUAAUAAUUUUAUUUCUUGACGUUACCCGAAAAAGAAGCACCGGCUAACUCCGUGCCAGCAGCCGCGGUAAUACGGAGGGUGCUAGCGUUAAUCAGAAUUACUGGGCGUAAAGAGCACGUAGGUGGUUUUUUUAAAGUCAGAUGUGAAAUCCCUGGGCUUAACCUGGAACUGCAUUUUGAAACUGAAAUACUAGAGUAUCGUAGAGGGAGGUAGAAUUCUAGGUGUAGCGGUGAAAUGCGUAGAUAUCUGGAGGAAUACCUGUGGCGAAAGCGGCCUCCUAAACGAAUACUGACACUGAGGUGCGAAAGCGUGGGGAGCAAACAGGGAUUAGAUACCCGU
rnacentral:rRNA from 1 species